GCCAGACUCCUACGGGAGGCAGCAGUGAGGAAUAUUGGUCAAUGGGCUUACGCCUGAACCAGCCAAGUCGCGUGAGGGAAGACUGCCCUAUGGGUUGUAAACCUCUUUUGUCAGGGAGCAAUUGGCGCUACGUGUAGCGUUAUCGAGAGUACCUGAAGAAAAAGCAUCGGCUAACUCCGUGCCAGCAGCCGCGGUAAUACGGAGGAUCCGAGCGUUAUCCGGAUUUAUUGGGUUUAAAGGGAGCGUAGGUGGAUUGUUAAGUCAGUUGUGAAAGUUUGCGGCUCAACCGUAAAAUUGCAGUUGAAACUGGCAGUCUUGAGUACAGUAGAGGUGGGCGGAAUUCGUGGUGUAGCGGUGAAAUGCUUAGAUAUCACGAAGAACUCCGAUUGCGAAGGCAGCAUACCGGCGCGCAACUGACGCUCAUGCACGAAAGCGUGGGUAUCGAACAGGAUUAGAUACCCCAGUACUC
rnacentral:rRNA from 1 species